rnacentral:rRNA from 1 species
AGAGUUUGAUCAUGGCUCAGGACGAACGCUGGCGGCGCGCCUAACACAUGCAAGUCGAACGAGAGAGAGGGAGCUUGCUUCCUUGAUCGAGUGGCGAACGGGUGAGUAACGCGUGAGGAACCUGCCUCAAAGAGGGGGACAACAGUUGGAAACGACUGCUAAUACCGCAUAAGCCCACGACCCGGCAUCGGGAAGAGGGAAAAGGAGCAAUCCGCUUUGAGAUGGCCUCGCGUCCGAUUAGCUAGUUGGUGAGGUAACGGCCCACCAAGGCGACGAUCGGUAGCCGGACUGAGAGGUUGAACGGCCACAUUGGGACUGAGACACGGCCCAGACUCAUACGGGAGGCAGCA